rnacentral:rRNA from 1 species
GGGUCCGCACAAGCGGUGGAGCAUGUGGUUUAAUUCGAUAAUACGCGAGGAACCUUACCUAGGCUAGAAUGCGAGUGAUAUCCAGAGAGAUCUGGAGUUCUUCGGACACAAAGCAAGGUGCUGCAUGGUUGUCGUCAGCUCGUGCCGUGAGGUGUUGGGUUAAGUCCCGCAACGAGCGCAACCCCUAUUUCUAGUUGCCAGCAAGUAAUGUUGGGGACUCUAGAAAGACUGCCUGCGUAAGCAGAGAGGAAGGAGGGGACGACGUCAAAUCAGCAUGGCCCUUAUGCCUAGGGCUACACACGUGCUACAAUGGCGUAUACAAAGGGUAGCGAACCAGCGAUGGUAAGCCAAUCUCUAAAAGUACGUCUCAGUUCGGAUUGAAGUCUGCAACUCGACUUCAUG